UUGUACAGUUGGUUUACAUUAUAUAGUUUUGUAAGUACUCCUGUUGCAUUGGUUCGUCUUUUUAUUCUUUGUCUCUCAGUUUUAGUAUUCCCUUUCCCUUACCUAGUUCCAAUACACAUACAUAGAGUAUCCAGGAUACCAAAAUUAUAUACAGUGUC